GUCCCUGUAGCGCAAUGGAUAGCGUCUUAGACUUCUAAUCCAAAGGUCGUGGGUUCGAAGUCUACCUGGGAUG
rnacentral:tRNA from 1 species